CCUACGGGGGGCUGCAGUGGGGAAUAUUGGACAAUGGGGGGAACCCUGAUCCAGCCAUGCCGCGUGUGUGAAGAAGGCCCUCGGGUUGUAAAGCACUUUCAGUGAGGAAGAACGCCUGGUGGUUAAUACCCAUCAGGAAAGACAUCACUCACAGAAGAAGCACCGGCUAACUCCGUGCCAGCAGCCGCGGUAAUACGGAGGGUGCGAGCGUUAAUCGGAAUUACUGGGCGUAAAGCGCGCGUAGGUGGCUUGAUAAGCCGGUUGUGAAAGCCCCGGGCUCAACCUGGGAACGGCAUCCGGAACUGUCAAGCUAGAGGGCAGGAGAGGAAGGUAGAAUUCCCGGUGUAGCGGUGAAAUGCGUAGAGAUCGGGAGGAAUACCAGUGGCGAAGGCGGCCUUCUGGACUGACACUGACACUGAGGUGCGAAAGCGUGGGUAGCAAACAGGAUUAGAUACCCGGGUAGUC
rnacentral:rRNA from 1 species